rnacentral:rRNA from 1 species
UACAGGGGUGCAACAGUUGCUCGGAAUCAUUGGGCGUAAAGCGCACGUAGGCGGUUCGUUAUGUCGGAUGUGAAGCCCUUGGCUUAACCGAGGAAGUGCAUCCGAAACUGGCGAGCUAGAGUACGAAAGAGGAUCGCGGAAUUCCCGGUGUAGAGGUGAAAUUCGUAGAUAUCGGGAGAACACCGGUGGCGAAGGCAGCUCGCUGGGACGUGACUGACGCUGAGACGCGAAAGCGUGGGGAGCGAACGAGG